UUGGAGGGCAGUCUGGUGCAGCAGCCGCGGUAAUUCCAGCUCCAUAGCGUAUAUUAAAGUUGUUGCAGUUAAAAAGCUCGUAGUUGAAUUUCGGGAUUGACACAUCGGUCGUGCCUUAAGGGGUAUGAACUGGUGUAGUCAGUUUCUCACCUUCUGGAGAACCGCGAUGUCCUUAAUUGGGUGCCGCGAGGAACCAGGACCUUUACUUUGAAAAAAUUAGAGUGUUUAAAGCAGGCAUUUUGCUUGAAUACAUUAGCAUGGAAUAAUAAAAUAGGACGGAUGGUUCUAUUUUGUUGGUUUCUAGGAUCACCGUAAUGAUUAAUAGGGAUAGUUGGGGGCAUUAGUAUUCAAUUGUCAGAGGUGAAAUUCUUGGAUUUAUUGAAGACUAACUACUGCGAAAGCAUUUGCCAAGGAUGUUUUCAUUAAUCAAGAACGAAAGUUAGGGGAUCGAAGACGAUCAGAUACCGUCGUAGUCUUAACCAUAAACUAUGCCGACUAGGAAUCAGACGAUGUUAAUUUUUUAAUGACUCGUUCGGCGCCUUACGGGAAAC
rnacentral:rRNA from 1 species